rnacentral:rRNA from 1 species
CAAUAGCGUAUAUUAAAGUUGUUGCAGUUAAAAAGCUCGUAGUUGGAUUUGUGGCGUACGGUGUGUUCCGGGCACUUGUUGUCUGAGUAAACUGCUGUUGCCAUCCUUGGGUGGAACCUGUGUGGCAUUAGGUUGUCGUGCAGGGGAUGCCCAUCAUUUACUGUGAAAAAAUUAGAGUGUUCAAAGCAGGCUUAUGCCGUUGAAUAUAUUAGCAUGGUAUAAUGAGAUAGGACUUUUUUGCUAUUUUGUUGGUUUGCGCAAAGAGGUAAUGAUUAAUAGGGACAGUUGGGGGUAUUCGUAUUCCAUUGUCAGAGGUGAAAUUCUUGGAUUUUUGGAAGACGAACUACUGCGAAAGCAUUUACCAAGGAUGUUUUCAUUAA